CACGCCCCAAACCUGGGCCUGGACGUAAUACGACACCUGAUGCCUAAGUACAUGUGACCGAGCAAACCAAUUGGCUGGCUGAAUCAAUAUGUGAUAUCAUAACAUACUGAAUGCAGAAGAUAAACUAGCACAUGCUGAUAUACUGAAAGUCUGAAUAAUAUAAAUCAAAAAAGCGAAAACACUAAUAUAAUUCUGAAACAUAUCUGUAGAAAACAUUGCUUAAGAUGAAAAACCUGCCACUCUGUCUAACUUCUCUAGUCUAUGAAGCCUUUAAUGAAGUACGAAAAAUACUAGUUGUCUGAAAAUAGUAAAGACUGUAAGGUAAUGCUAAUGCCCUGAACGAACUGGGGAUCACCAAAUAGCUGGUAAGAGAAUCCUAGCGCUCUGAAUCGUCAAUCUGUAAAUCAUUACCUGCAUCAUGAAAUGCAGGUCCCGGGCAAAAGGGACAUCAGUACAUUUAAAUUGCACUGAUAUGUAAAGAAACUAAAAGAAAGAACUGUAAAUGCUGAAACUGAAAUUAAACUGAUAAUUGAUAACUGGGAAUAGGUAUUAAUAAUUGAUAGCUGAACUGAUAAAGAAACUGAUAACUGAAUAAGGAAGUAAGGAUAUGAAUACUCCCUCUUCUGAAUGAUGAACACCCUAUUUAUCUGAAUAAAUAAACUGUAGCCUCAGGCCCAAUAUAUGUGUGCACAAACUGCGGCCUCAAGCCCAAAUAUACGUAUACAUAACUGCGACCUCAAGCCCAAAGAUGCAUAAAGUAUAAACUGCAGCCUCAAGCCCAAAUACAGGUGUUCAACAUUCAGGGAUUUAAAAAUAAGAACUGAGAAUCGUACUGUAAUACAUGAUACUGAAAUACUAAACCAUACUAUGUUCAUUAAGUAUAUAACCUGGCUCUGAUACCAACUCAGAACGAGUGUAGUACCGGUGUUGGAGAACGAUAAAUAUCAAGAGGAAGAAUGACGAUUAGUUCUACAAGAGAAUUAUUUUUAAACCAGCAGUCUCAAAAUUGCACUAAGAAAGUAUACCAGAUUAUUGGCUAUAAGGGCUCUCUUAGCAACCUGCCAUAUCAAAAACCGUUUUCUUAGAUCAAACUAAUCAGCUUCUGGUAAUCACUCAUGGAAAGUAAUUACGUCCUUUGUGAUUUCUAAUAUUCUACACUCUGUAAGGAUCAACCAUCAUUUUUAGAGAAGAGAGAACAAGAGAAAGUUUAGAAAGCAAACAUUUUAUUGCACACUUAAUAUUUUUUUCCAGG
rnacentral:lncRNA from 1 species